rnacentral:rRNA from 1 species
AGGCUUAACACAUGCAAGUCGAGCGCCCCGCAAGGGGAGCGGCAGACGGGUGAGUAACGCGUGGGAACGUACCUUUUGCUACGGAAUAACUCAGGGAAACUUGUGCUAAUACCGUAUGUGCCCUUCGGGGGAAAGAUUUAUCGGCAAAGGAUCGGCCCGCGUUGGAUUAGCUAGUUGGUGAGGUAAAGGCUCACCAAGGCGACGAUCCAUAGCUGGUCUGAGAGGAUGAUCAGCCACACUGGGACUGAGACCGGCCCAG